GGGAGGUGUGAUGAUGAUUAUCCAUUGAAUCAUCCUGAAAAUCAGAAUCUGAUUUUGAUGACCUAUUCUAAUCAAAUUACAUGCACUACCAUCUGAUCUCUC
rnacentral:snoRNA from 1 species